rnacentral:rRNA from 1 species
AACGAACGCUGGCGGCAGGCUUAACACAUGCAAGUCGAGCGCCCCGCAAGGGGAGCGGCAGACGGGUGAGUAACGCGUGGGAAUCUACCCAUCUCUACGGAAUAACGCAUGGAAACGUGUGCUAAUACCGUAUACGUCCUUCGGGAGAAAGAUUUAUCGGAGAUGGAUGAGCCCGCGUUGGAUUAGCUAGUUGGUGGGGUAAAGGCAUACCAAGGCGACGAUCCAUAGCUGGUCUGAGAGGAUGAUCAGCCACACUGGGACUGAGACACGGCCCAGACUCCUACGGAAGGCAGCAGUGGGGAAUAUUGGACAAUGGGCGCAAGCCUGAUCCAGCCAUGCCGCGUGAGUGAUGAAGGCCCUAGGGUUGUAAAGCUCUUUCACCGGUGAAGAUAAUGACGGUAACCGGAGAAGAAGCCCCGGCUAACUUCGUGCCAGCCGCCGCCGCGGUAA